CUUUAACGUAAUCAAACACAAAUCUCAUUUUGUCAGCUUCCGUGUUCAGCUCGGGUUGUGUUGCCUCUCCUCCACCUCCGACGGUGAGCCCGAGCAGGAGCAAAAGCCAGAAUCCGGCGACCGGCGGCAAGGGUAAAUAUUAUCCUAGGAGCUUCAGAAGAAAGAGUGAUGCUUUCUGGGAUGCAUACUGUGGCAGAUAUAUUUUGCUGCAGCUGUGGACAGAUAUAAAACCUGACAUUGACUUGGUAGUUCUAAUUGGAAAAUAAAUGCCCAUUACUGAUGGGUUUAGAUUCUAAUGCGUAUUUGGGGGAAAAAACUACCUCCCUCAAUUCUGUGCUUGUCUUUGGAACUCCGUCCCUUCUCUACUUCUCUUCUCCGAGUUCUCUCCCAUUACUCGAUCACCAUGGCAAAUUUCUCCACCACUGUUAUCUACACUCUGCACCAGAUUUCUAUCGCCACCAACACCACUAAUCUCUCUCAUAUAUUUUUAGUCAUUUAAAAUGAAACCAGAAUUCUACAAAAAUCCAAUACAUCCGUCAACAAUCAUCCUGCUCUUUCAAGUUCUUUCCGUCAUCACUGUCAGCUUUGUGUUUGACUCCGGCAUUCUAUUUAUUUAUCACAAAACCGCAAACAAUCAAGCUGUCUUGAGCAGCCUUCUAAUAGAUACACUUUCAUUAUCCAAGAUAGUUCUAUGUGGCAACCUCUAUCUCUCAUCUGCUUAAAUUUUUGGCUGAAAGAAGAAAACUACAAAAUAUUUGCUUAAGAAAGCAAGGGGCCUUGAAGCUUUGCAGUUUGAUAUACAGCAGCGAGUACUUAAGCUCACUGCAAACAGGUGCGGAGUUCCAGGCUAAUGAUUUGGGAUUAAAGGUUGAGAACACAUCUAUCGAACAACUUGGUUUGGCAAGGAAGGUGACAAUCACCAAGGAUAACACCACCAUCAUUGCUGAUGCCGCAUCCAAAGAUGAACUUCAGGCUAGAAUUGCGCAGCUUAAGAAAGAAUUGUUUGCAACCGACUCUGUUUAUGAUUCUGAGAAGCUUGCUAAAAGAGUUGCCAAACUUUCUGGAGGAUUUUCUGUUAUAAAGGUUGGUGCAGCCACAGAAACUGAGCUUGAAGACCGUAAACUGCGAAUUGAGGAUUGACAGGCUAAAUCGCACUCCUAUCAAAGAUAAACCUAACGUUCACCAACUACAAAUAUAGCAAGGGAAGCAGGGAUCAUAUCCACAGGGAAACAAUGUUCUUUCUACUAUUAAUCGGCAAUUAUAGACUAUUGGGAAACAAAAAUAUGGAUUGAUUUGUAUAAUAUAACUAGCUAGGACGAUAAUAAAAUAGGGAAAAAUCAGAUA